rnacentral:rRNA from 1 species
AUUGAACGCUGGCGGCAGGCUUAACACAUGCAAGUCGAGCGGUAACAGAGAGAAGCUUGCUUCCCUGCUGACGAGCGGCGGACGGGUGAGUAAUGCCUAGGAAUCUGCCUAGUAGUGGGGGAUAACUUGCCGAAAGGUAAGCUAAUACCGCAUACGUCCUACGGGAGAAAGGCGGGGACCUUCGGGCCUUUCGCUAUUAGAUGAGCCUAGGUCGGAUUAGUUAGUUGGUGAGGUAAUGGCUCACCAAGACCGCGAUCCGUAACUGGUCUGAGAGGAUGAUCAGUCACACUGGAACUGAGACACGGUCCAGACUCCUACGGGAGGCAGCAGUGGGGAAUAUUGGACAAUGGGGGGAACCCUGAUCCAGCCAUGCCGCGUGUGUGAAGAAGGUCUUAGGAUUGUAAAGCACUUUAAGUUGGAGGAAGAGCAGUUAACUAAUAUUUGACUGUUUUGACGUUACCGACAGAAUAAGCACCGGCUAACUUCGUGCCAGCCGCCGCAGUAA